CGCACUGUCCCCACUUCCCCAUCCUCAGAAUAAACUCUAGUUUCACACCCUGAUGGUAGGAGGGAGGGAGUUGAAAAUGCUGACUCCGUUGUGUGUACCCAACGAACCAACUGUCCCUGGGCUGCUGGAACUUCUGAGUUCAGCUGCACAAAGAACUAAAGCCUAUGACGGAAGAAGUGGCAAUAACGAAGAUUAGUAUAAUGAUGCUCCAUUGCUGCCCUGGCUGCUCACUAGAAUCAUCAUCUGAUAAGAAUCAUUGAGUUGACUGCAAACUUUGAUUUCACCAGUCCAUGUUCCCAAGUUCCCACCUUGUACAGACCCAACUCAAACACCAUCACUUCUGGGAAGAAUUUGGACAGGCACCAGUCAUCCUGAAUACACUGUGCAAGGAAUGAAACACUGACAAGAAACUCCUUCAGGGUAGGAAUUUUGAUCAUUGCCAUAUUCCAGCACCUAGAGCCUGGACUCUCUUUCUCUCUCUCUCUCUCUCUCUCACACACACACAAACAAAAUAUUUUUUUCUAAGUAGCUCAUUUCAUUUUUGGACAGUUCUAAUGAUUAUAAAGUCUUUCCUUAGGCAUAGCAGAUAUUGACUACACUUUUUGUCUUAAUUAUGCCCUCUGGAGCCAAGUUUUCCA
rnacentral:lncRNA from 1 species